rnacentral:rRNA from 2 species
GGGUUGUGAGGUUAAGCGACUAAGCGUACACGGUGGAUGCCCUGGCAGUCAGAGGCGAUGAAGGACGUGCUAAUCUGCGAUAAGCGUCGGUAAGGUGAUAUGA